GCAUAUCAAUAGCGAAGAAAAAGAAAUCCACAGAGAAUUGCACUAGUAACGGCGAGUGAAGCGGCAACAGCUCAAAUUUGAAAUCUGGCCCCCGGGUCCGAGUUGUAAUUUGUAGAGGAUGCCUUUUGGUGCGGUACCUUCCGAGUUCUCUGGAACGAGACGCCAUAGAGGGUGAGAGCCCCGUCUGGUUGGACGCCAAACCUUUGUAAAGCUCCUUCGACGAGUCGAGUAGUUUGGGAAUGCUGCUCUAAAUGGGAGGUAUAUGUCUUCUAAAGCUAAAUAUUGGCCAGAGACCGAUAGCGCACAAGUAGAGUGAUCGAAAGAUGAAAAGCACUUUGAAAAGAGAGUUAAAAAGUACGUGAAAUUGUUGAAAGGGAAGCGCUCAUGACCAGACUUGGGCCCGGUUGAUCAUCCAGGGUUCUCCCUGGUGCACUCUUCCGGCCCAGGCCAGCAUCAGUUCGCUGUGGGGGAUAAAGGCUUCGGGAAUGUGGCUCCCUCGGGAGUGUUAUAGCCCGUCGUGCAAUACCCUGCGGCGGACUGAGGUUCGCGCAUUCGCAAGGAUGCUGGCGUAAUGGUCAUCAGCGACCCGUCUUGAAACACGGACCAAGGAGUCGUCUUCGUAUGCGAGUGUUCGGGUGUCAAACCCCUACGCGUAAUGAAAGUGAACGCAGGUGAGAGCUUCGGCGCAUCAUCGACCGAUCCUGAUGUUCUCGGAUGGAUUUGAGUAAGAGCAUACGGGGCCGGACCCGAAAGAAGGUGAACUAUGCCUGUAUAGGGUGAAGCCAGAGGAAACUCUGGUGGAGGCUCGCAGCGGUUCUGACGUGCAAAUCGAUCGUCAAAUAUGGGCAUGGGGCGAAAGACUAAUCGAACCUUUCUAGUAGCUGGGUUCCGCCGAAGU
rnacentral:rRNA from 1 species